rnacentral:rRNA from 1 species
UACAGAGGUCCCGAGCGUUGUUCGGAUUCACUGGGCGUAAAGAGCGUGUAGGCGGCCAGGUAGGUCGGUUGUGAAAACUGGAGGCUCAACCUUCAGAGGUCGACCGAAACCAUCUGGCUAGAGUCCGGGAGAGGAGAGUGGAAUUCCUGGUGUAGCGGUGAAAUGCGCAGAUAUCAGGAAGAACACCCGUGGCGAAAGCGGCUCUCUGGAACGGUACUGACGCUGAGACGCGAAAGCGUGGGGAGCGAACAGG